UACGUAGGGGGCGAGCGUUGUCCGGAGUUACUGGGCGUAAAGGGCAUGCAGGCGGUCGGGCGCGUUUUGUGUGACAGCGGGUGGCUCAACUACGCGAGCAUACGAAAGACGGUUUGACUUGAGGGCUCGAGAGGGACACGGAAUUCCGGGUGGAGUGGUGAAAUGCGUAGAGAUCCGGAGGAACACCGAAGGCGAAGGCAGUGUCCUGGCGAGUGACUGACGCUGAGGUGCGAAAGCCAGGGGAGCGAACGGG
rnacentral:rRNA from 1 species